UACGAAGGGGGCUAGCGUUGCUCGGAAUCACUGGGCGUAAAGCGCACGUAGGCGGCUUUUAAGUCAGGGGUGAAAUCCUGGAGCUCAACUCCAGAACUGCCUUUGAUACUGAGAAGCUUGAGACCGGAAGAGGUUAGUGGAACUGCGAGUGUAGAGGUGAAAUUCGUAGAUAUUCGCAAGAACACCAGUGGCGAAGGCGGCUGACUGGUCCGGUUCUGACGCUGAGGCGCGAAAGCGUGGGGAGCAAACAGG
rnacentral:rRNA from 1 species